GAUGGCAGUGACGACUUGGUAAUAUUCGAGCUCAACAGACCAAACCACAGGUCUAGCCUUUAGAGUUUGAUCUGUAUGCCGAUAAUCCCGCUGAACCGAGCCAUC
rfam:Brachypodium distachyon strain Bd21 chromosome 3, whole genome shotgun sequence.